ACUCAAAUGAAUUGACGGGGGCCCGCACAAGCGGUGGAGCAUGUGGUUUAAUUCGAUGCAACGCGAAGAACCUUACCUACCCUUGACAUCCUGCGAAUCCCGAUGAGAGUUGGGAGUGCCGAAAGGAGCGCAGAGACAGGUGCUGCAUGGCUGUCGUCAGCUCGUGUUGUGAGAUGUUGGGUUAAGUCCCGUAACGAGCGCAACCCUUGCCCUUAGUUGCCAGCAGGUAAAGCUGGGGACUCUAAGGGGACUGCCGGUGUUGAACCGGAGGAAGGCGGGGACGACGUCAAGUCAUCAUGGCCUUUAUGGGUAGGGCUACACACGUGCUACAAUGGUACGUACAGAGAGUCGCCAACCUGCGAAGGGGAGCCAAUCUCAGAAAGCGUAUCGUAGUCCGGAUCGGAGUCUGCAACUCGACUCCGUGAAGUCGGAAUCGCUAGUAAUCGCGAAUCAGCACUGUCGCGGUGAAUACGUUCCCGGGCCUUGUACACACCGCCCGU
rnacentral:rRNA from 1 species